AUACGGAGGAUCCGAGCGUUAUCCGGAUUUAUUGGGUUUAAAGGGUGCGCAGGCGGCCAUUUAAGUCAGCGGUUAAAUCGUGGGGCUCAACCCCAUUCUGCCGUUGAUACUGGGUGGCUUGAUUGCGGUCGAGGUUGGCGGAAUUCGUUGUGUAGCGGUGAAAUGCAUAGAUAUGACGAAGAACACCGAUUGCGUAGGCAGCUGACCAGACCGCAAAUGACGCUCAUGCACGAAAGUGCGGGGAUCGAACAGGAUUAGAUACCCUGGUAGUCCGCACAGUAAACGAUGAAUACUUGUUUUCGGCGAUAUAACGUCGGAGGCAAAGCGAAAGCGAUAAGUAUUCCACCUGGGGAGUACGCCGGCAACGGUGAAACUCAAAGGAAUUGGCGGGG
rnacentral:rRNA from 1 species